rnacentral:rRNA from 1 species
GAAUUUUAUAUAUUUUUAUUUAAUAAAAUUUAUAUUGAAAUAAAUAAGAAUAUAUUUUAUUGGGAGGAUAGUUAAAUAUUAAAAACUUUAAUUAAAAUUAAAAUAUAAAUUAAUAAAUUUAAGAAUGGUUAAAUAAAUUAAUUAAGAAUUAAUUACCUUAGGGAUAACAGCGUAAUAUUUUUGGAGAGUUCAUAUUAAUAAAAAUGUUUGC